rnacentral:lncRNA from 1 species
AUGUUUUAUUGUUCUUCAAGCAUCGAAACGUGUUAAGAAGGAGCCUACUGUGCCCUUUCUGUAUCCAGAAAUGCCAAAAGCAGACACAAACCAAAAUGCAUCAUGGCUCUGGUUCUGUUUUGUAACAUUUGGAAGAAAGUGGACUUGACAAUGAAAUUUAGAGACCUAGUAAUGAAGCCAAAAAGAUCUGAAGUGGCAAACCAGAGGAAGCAGGAGAGAAACACUGAAGCCCAGAUCCCACUCUGCCAGAUGUAAGGGAUGAAAGGAUGGACGCCCACGCGGUCACUCCCAACUGUGGUUUCAUAGACCACCUGGGCACUCCAAGAAUCUCAAAGAAUGCAACAAAAUGUCAGGACACAAUUUUAAUCCGACCAAUUUACGGAAGACCAAUGUUCCACAAAAACUCAAGUAGGAAUGGUUGGAAACCACCUCUCUGGAAACGAGGCAACAGGGGAGCCUUUUACUUUGAAAACUGAAGACAAAAUAACAUCUCACACUUCUCUAGGAAAAAAGGGAUCUACUACAUAAUAUUAGGGAAGAAGAUUCAACUAAAAAAAAAGGGGGUGGUAUUCAACUUCCUCACAGAAUCCAUGAAGGAGGAAUUCACCAGUAGGAAAUUAGAAUGGCGGUUUUAAGAAGAGAAUGAGCCUAUUUUUUUCUUGCAGUUAACAAGUCAACAAGUCAGUCAGACUUUC